ACUCAAAUGAAUAGACGGGGGCCCGCACAAGCAGCGGAGCAUGUGGCUUAAUUCGACGCAACGCGAAGAACCUUACCAAGGCUUGACAUACACCGGUAACACCCGGAGACGGGUGCCCCCUUGUGGUCGGUGUACAGGUGGUGCAUGGCUGUCGUCAGCUCGUGUCGUGAGAUGUUGGGUUAAGUCCCGCAACGAGCGCAACCCUUGUUCUGUGUUGCCAGCAACUCUUUCGGGAGGUUGGGGACUCACAGGAGACCGCCGGGGUCAACUCGGAGGAAGGUGGGGACGACGUCAAGUCAUCAUGCCCCUUAUGUCUUGGGCUGCACACGUGCUACAAUGGCCGGUACAAUGAGCUGCGAUACCGUGAGGUGGAGCGAAUCUCAAAAAGCCGGUCUCAGUUCGGAUUGGGGUCUGCAACUCGACCCCAUGAAGUCGGAGUUGCUAGUAAUCGCAGAUCAGCAUUGCUGCGGUGAAUACGUUCCCGGGCCUUGUACACACCGCCCGU
rnacentral:rRNA from 1 species